rnacentral:rRNA from 1 species
UCCUGCCGGACCUGACUGCUAUCGGAUUGAUACUAAGCCAUGCGAGUCUUUGUAGUAAUACAAGGCAGACGGCUCAGUAACACGUAGUCAACCUACCCUAUGGACAAGAAUAAUCUCGGGAAACUGGGCAUAAUUCUUGAUAGAUCAUAAUGCCUGGAAUGGUUUAUGGUUAAAAUGAUUCGUCGCCAUAGGAUGGGACUGCGGCCUAUCAGCUUGUUGGUGAGGUAAUGGCCCACCAAGGCGAUUACAGGUACGGGCUCUGAGAGGAGAAGCCCGGAGAUGGGUACUGAGACACGGACCCAGGCCCUAUGGGGCGCAGCAGGCGAGAAAACUUUGCAAUGUGCGAAAGCACGACAAGGUUAAUCCGAGUGAUUUCUGCUAAAGAAAUCUUUUGCCAGUCAUAAAACCACUGGUGAAUAAGGGGUGGGCAGGUUCUGGUGUCAGCCGCCGCGGUAAAACCAGCACCUCAAGUGGUCAGGAUGAUUAUUGGGCCUAAAGCAUCCGUAGCCGGCUUUGUUAGUUUUCGGUUAAAUCCAUGUGCUCAACGCAUGGGCUGCCGAAAAUACUGCAUAGCUAGGGAGUGGGAGAGGUAGACGGUACUCAGUAGGAAGGGGUAAAAUCCUUUGAUCUAUUGAUGACCACCUGUGGCGAAGGCGGUCUACCAGAACACGUUCGACGGUGAGGGAUGAAAGCUGGGGGAGCAAACCGGAUUAGAUACCCGGGUAGUCCCAGCUGUAAACGAUGCAGACUCGAUGAUGCAUUGGCAUAAUAGCCAGUGCAGUGUCGCAGGGAAGCCGUUAAGUCUGCCGCCUGGGAAGUACGUACGCAAGUAUGAAACUUAAAGGAAUUGGCGGGGGAGCACCACAAGGGGUGAAGCCUGCGGUUCAA